rnacentral:rRNA from 1 species
GACGAACGCUGGCGGCGUGCUUAACACAUGCAAGUCGAGCGGUAAGGCCCUUUCGGGGGUACACGAGCGGCGAACGGGUGAGUAACACGUGGGUGACCUGCCCUCAGCUCUGGGAUAAGCCUGGGAAACCGGGUCUAAUACCGGAUAUGACUCCAUGACGCACGUUGUGGGGUGGAAAGCCUUGUGCGGCUGAGGAUGGGCCCGCGGCCUAUCAGCUUGUUGGUGGGGUGAUGGCCUACCAAGGCGACGACGGGUAGCCGGCCUGAGAGGGCGACCGGCCACACUGGGACUGAGACACGGCCCAGACUCCUACGGGAGGCAGCAGUGGGGAAUCUUGCGCAAUGGGCGAAAGCCUGACGCAGCAACGCCGCGUGGAGGAUGAAGGCCCUUGGGUUGUAAACU